rnacentral:rRNA from 1 species
AUUGAACGCUGGCGGCAGGCUUAACACAUGCAAGUCGAACGAGUGGCGGACGGGUGAGUAAUGAUUGGGAAUCUAGCUUAUGGAGGGGGAUAACUACGGGAAACUGUAGCUAAUACCGCGUAACAUAGGAGGAGCCCAAGUGGGAUGAGGUAGUUGGUGAGGUAAAGGCUCACCAAGCCGACGAUCUCUAGCUGGUCUGAGAGGAUGACCAGCCACACUGUGACUGAGACACGGCCCAGACUCCUACGGGAGGCAGCAGUUGGAAAUAUUGCUCAAUGGGGGCAACCUGACCCAGCCAUGCCGCGUGAAUGAAGAAUGCCUUCGGGUUGUAAAGUUCUUUCGGUAGCGAGGCGUUAACUACAGAAGAAGCACCGGCUAACUCCGUGCCAGCCGCCGCGGUAAUAC